AAUGGUGUGUAACAUCAAACACCUGUCUGCAAAUAGAGUGUGCUGGGAUUGUCUACCAAGUCAUAGGCAAUCAGAAAUGCUUGACUGGGCCUUGAGAAUAGAGAAACCAGAUGAGACAAUUGCUGAAGUUGACAACAUUGUCCUGAAAAUAAAAGAUUUUUGGACGCUGGGUCUCAAUGAGCAGUUGGAGGCAACAAUUGCAAACAGCUGUCUUGAAGUGGUUGCAUUGGUGGCUAAAGAACAGGUAAG